GACGAACGCUGGCGGCGUGCUUAACACAUGCAAGUCGAGCGGUAAGGCCCUUUCGGGGGUACACGAGCGGCGAACGGGUGAGUAACACGUGGGUGACCUGCCCUCAGCUCUGGGAUAAGCCUGGGAAACCGGGUCUAAUACUGGAUAUGACUCCAUGACGCAUGUUGUGGGGUGGAAAGCCUUGUGCGGCUGAGGAUGGGCCCGCGGCCUAUCAGCUUGUUGGUGGGGUGANGGCCUACCAAGGCGACGACGGGUAGCCGGCCUGAGAGGGCGACCGGCCACACUGGGACUGAGACACGGCCCAGACUCCUACGGGAGGCAGCAGUGGGGAAUCUUGCGCAAUGGGCGAAAGCCCGACGCAGCGACGCCGCGUGAGGGAUGACGGCCUGGU
rnacentral:rRNA from 1 species